UACGUAGGGGGCAAGCGUUGUCCGGAAUCCUUGGGCGUAAAGAGCGUGUAGGCGGCCCGAUAAGUCCGCCGUGAAAGUCCAGGGCUCAACCCUGGGAUGCCGGUGGAAACUGUCGGGCUAGAGUCCGGAAGAGGCGAGUGGAAUUCCUGGUGUAGCGGUGAAAUGCGCAGAUAUCAGGAGGAACACCAAUGGCGAAGGCAGCUCGCUGGGACGGUACUGACGCUGAGACGCGAAAGCGUGGGGAGCAAACAGG
rnacentral:rRNA from 1 species